AAUUCGAUGAUACGCGAGGAACCUUACCUGGGCUUAAAUGGGAGUGACAGCUGUCGAAAGAUGGUUUUCUUCGGACACUCUUCAAGGUGCUGCAUGGUUGUCGUCAGCUCGUGCCGUGAGGUGUCGGGUUAAGUCCCAUAACGAGCGCAACCCUUACCGUUAGUUACCAUCAGGUUAAGCUGGGGACUCUAGCGGGACUGCCACCGUAAGGUGAGAGGAAGUGGGGAUGACGUCAAAUCAGCACGGCCCUUAUGUCCAGGGCUACACACGUGUUACAAUGGCCAGUACAAAGGGCAGCUACCGGGUGACCGGAUGCUAAUCUCUAAAGCUGGUCUCAGUUCGGAUCGAAGUCUGCAACCCGACUUCGUGAAGCUGGAUUCGCUAGUAAUCGCGCAUCAGCCAUGGCGCGGUGAAUACGUUCCCGGGCCUU
rnacentral:rRNA from 1 species